rnacentral:snRNA from 1 species
CAAAGGGAUCGCAUUGAUCC